CCCGGGCCGCUCUCCGAGGGGCAAGGCCCUGGGCCACCUGACCCCGCGGGGCACCGCGGCGGCUUUGUGUCUGCCGGGCGCUCGCCACAGCCUGAUGCUUCGCCUCGCCCCCGACCGGCCCCGGGGACAACACGGCCGCCGCCCCCGGCGGGAGCUCGCCGAGGCCCCGUCCCGCCCCGAGGGCCCUCCCUCCACCUGCAGGAAGAGCUCGUAGAGGAUCUCCUCCCGCACGCGGCUCUCCAGCGAUGUCAGCAUGACCAACGGGAGAGGGUGUUCACCUCAGUAUGUCUGGGGUUGAAGAAGAGUUGAAGCGAAGAUGCUAACCACUAGUGCCUUUAGCCUUCAGCAGCUUUCCCUGCUGAGGAAAAGAUGAUGAUGAUGAUGAUUAUUAUUAUUGUCAGGCCUGCUUUAGAAUGGGAGACGAUUCUCAUCUGCACAGAUGCGUGACCUCGGGAGAAGGUGUGUGUGCCCCAGGAGUGUUUCCUGCAGUGCGAAUAAUUGGCAGCCAGAUACAGGAAAACUGAGCAUCCAGACACCUCACCUCUAAAAGACAGAGUUUAUCUGCUUCUUUGCCUCACUGUAAACUCCAAGAAAAUGAUGUUUGUCUUCUUCUAUUU